CGCAGAUCAGUGAGAGAAUUCACAGACCUUCAGAUCUUACCGCAGAUCUGGUAAGAUCUGGAGUGAGACAAACUGCUGGUUCUCACCCGGCCCCUGCACUGUGGAUGAACAGGGCCCUCAGGUGCCCAGGCCCUGGUAAGCAUCAUUCUACUCCAUGCCUCCGUAAGAUCCACUUUUUUAGCUCCCACAUUUGAGUGAGAACAUGUGAUAUUUGUAUUUUUGUACCUGUUUAUUUCACUCAACAUAAUGAACUCCAGCUCCAUCCAUGUUGCUACAAAUGAAAGGAUAUUAUUCUGUUUUAUGGCCAAAUAAUGUUUCUUUGUGUAUAUAUACCACAUUUUCCUUAUCCAUUCAUUCAUUGGUGGAUUCUUAGGUUGAUUUCACUUCUUGACUAAUAUGAACAGUGCUGUAAUAAACAUGGGAGUGCAGAUAGUUCUUAGGUUUACUGAUUUCCUGUCUUUUGGAUAUAUCCAGCAGUGGGAUUGCUAGAUCAUAUGGUAGUUCUACUUUUAGUUUUUUGAAGCGCCUCCAUACUGUUGUUCAUAGUGGCUGUCCUAGUUUAUAUUCCCACUAACAGUGUAUGAGUGUUCCCCUUUCUCCGAAUCCUUGCCAACGUCUGUUAUUUUUUGUCUUUUUGAUAAUAGCCGUUCUAACUUGGGUGAGAUGGUAUCUCAUCAUGGUUUGAUUUGCAUUUCCUUGAUGAUUAGUGAUAUUGAACAUUUUUUCAUAUACCUGCUGACCGUUUGUAUGCCUUCUUUUGGGAAAUGUCUAUUCAGGUCUUUUGUUCAUUUUAAAAAUGAAGUUAUUUGUUUAAAAAGGAUACUUUGAAUCCAGGCACAGUGGCUCACACCUGUAAUCUCAGCACUUUGGGAGGCUGAAGCGGGC
rnacentral:lncRNA from 1 species